ACGUAUUUACCAUAGACUGUAUAUAAUGGUAUUUACGCAGCUAAUCAACGUCAGGCGUCCUUAUGUGCAGCCACCUUUGUUCUCAAAGAUAUGAAUGAGUAGAUAGGACACGCCCCUUUGAGCUGCGUGCUACAGCGAGGCUAAGCUAGUGGGGGAAAAGUUUCAGUGCAUUCCGUUGAUGUAGACGGCGUGAAAACGGAAACAACAAGAAUGCCGUCUCACUGUGCUGCAUACAGUUACACACUACGUCGUACGAUUGAGACAAGGAAACUUGGAAUGACUUUUCAUAGGUUUCCCAGAGACUAUGGGUUGAGGAGGAAUUGGAAGUUUGUCGGCUUAGACCUGGUGUCAUUCCAUCAGUGUUAAACUUCCCGGUUCAUCUUGGAAGAGUACGUGCCAGAAAGACCACGACCAAGCAGCCUUGAGAUCUUAGACAGCGUCUCCCUGAGGUCCCUCUCUAUCUCCCCACACAUCCACCAACCACUGGAACACAUCUCCAAAGUUCUGCUGGGCCAGCUCAGCUUCCCCUCAGAAGAAGUGGCGCCACCUGCCAGAUGAAGGAGCCUUUUGAGAGGCAGCUGGCAUCGUGAUUGGACUGUACUUUGGUCUGUUCCAAUCCAGCUUCAGCUCCAGAGACGGCAGGCGGGACAAGUCAACGGAGGCCGGAUGGACGAAGACCAAAGAACUACAGACUCUUCACAACCUGCUCAAACUCUUGGUACAGGACCUCACCACACGGGUCAAGAAGGUUUCCUUCUCAUUUCUACUCUGAAGCUCACCUUCUCCUGCUCAAACUGCUGACAAAUGUUUCUGCUGCUCUAAAGUCUGCUCUCCAGAACUUCCUAAAAACUCUCAAAGUCUCUUCUGCUGCAGGUUGCUUUGUAGAACUGUUCCAGAAAACCUCACUAAACCACAUGGAGGAGCCUCAAGAUAGUCG
ensembl:lncRNA